CGAAUCAUUCACAAUGGGCGAAAGCCUGAUGGUGCGACGCCGCGUGAGGGAUGAAGGUCUUCGGAUUGUAAACCUCUGUCACUGGGGAGAAAACGCUUUGAGUUAAUAGUUCAAAGCCUGAUUUAACCCGGAGAGGAAGCAGUGGCUAACUCUGUGCCAGCAGCCGCGGUAAUACAGAGACUGCAAGCGUUAUUCGGAUUCACUGGGCGUAAAGGGUGCGCAGGCGGCCGUGUGUGUAAGGUGUGAAAUCCCGGGGCUCAACCCCGGAACUGCGCCUUAAACUACAUGGCUAGAGUAUUGGAGAGGGUAGCGGAAUUCACGGUGUAGCAGUGAAAUGCGUAGAUAUCGUGAGGAACACCAGAGGCGAAGGCGGCUACCUGGACAAUUACUGACGCUCAGGCACGAAAGCGUGGGGAGCAAAA
rnacentral:rRNA from 1 species